rnacentral:lncRNA from 1 species
UCACUAAGCCCUUAGGGACUAGUUCAGGGCUCAACAGCCAACCCUCAGCCCAAUCCCUUCCCACGCCAUCUGUGGAGGAAGACCUCAUUCAAGACAGAGAAGACCAGAUCUGAAAUGGGAAUGUGUCCUGCCCACCACAUGGUAUGCCUUUUGAGACGUGGUGAGACCUUUCUUUCCAUACUUUCCAGCUGAAGUUGGAUUUAUUUUCCUAUGUCAAAACACAACAUGAGGUCUAACCUUGACUGGAAUCCCAGGCCAGAGGGCCAGAUAUGUGAGCUUGUAAGCAAACUGGAUUUUCCUGGGGUUUUUGUGGUUUUAAAACGAAAUUCUAUAGAGGUUUACAACAUAAUGUUGCAGAACGUGUGGCGAUAGUAUAAUUGUUACUGUGGUGAAGUAGACUCACAUUUGUCAGCUCCUACAGCUACCUUUUCAUUGUGACAAAAGCAACUAAGAUCUGCUUAUGAAUCAAUGACCUCAUUAGAGUUCCAUGCUGCACACUGAGCCUUUGGUCUUCACCCUACACAUCUGGCACGUUGUACUCUUCCCCUGGAGCCUCCCAUUCCCCUCCAUGCCCACCUGGUAAUGCCGCUGGAUUUGAGCUCACCUAGAAGCACCCACACAUGUUUUCCACCUAUGUGCUAGAGCUUUCCAUUGCUGUGAUGAAGGUCUGCGAGAAUCAAUUUAAAAAGAGGAAAGGUUGAUUUUAGCUCCCAGUUUUGAGGACCUGAACCCCGGUCUGUUGGCGCUGUUGCUUCACUGCCAGAGCAGCAGAAGAAGAAGCUGCCCACCUCCUGCUGCUGGGAAGGAAGACGAGGAGCCAGGGCCUGGCUGUCUCCUCCAGGCCACGCCCCUGUGACCUCACUUCCUGGCCCAAGACCCCACCUCAUACAGGGCACAGGCUGGAAGUUAAGCCUGGGGCUUUGGGAGGACGUUCAGGAUCCAAACUACAUAAAACACGGAGGAGAUUGGAAAUGUUUUUCUUCCUCUGCCUGGCUUACUUAGUGCAGGUUCCCCCAGGCCUGCACUAUGGUGGCCAGUGGUGGGUUCCAAGCCUGUGGCUGAAGCUCCUCUGUAGGAGUCCUGUCAUGUUAUUCAUAACUGCAUGAGACUCUUCAGUCACUGAUACAAAUGGAUGUAAGCAGCAUUACCCCCCACUGUAGGGGGAUAUUCUCUGAGGCUGAGAUCUUGGUGUUGGUAGAGUUCGAAGAGAUCUAAUCAAGAACCCUAGAAAUGCCAGCCCCUGCUGUGGCACAAGGCAGGCCGACAAGACAAACACCAGCAGCCUGUCUUUACCUAAAAAUCUUGACAGUUUGUAACGUGAUUUUUUUUUUGUAUUCUCAUUCUUUAAGGUGUUGAAUUAAUGUGUUAUUUAUCUUGACUUCCUAAGAAACA